rnacentral:tRNA from 2 species
ACCCGGCCUGCCGCGGGAGCGGGACCGGGUGCCGUCCCAGGAGGGCGGCGGUCGUGACCGGAUCGCGACCGCCGGCGGAUCUCAGCCGACGCCGGCGU